rnacentral:rRNA from 1 species
AACCUGCCCAAGAGAUCGGGAUAAUAACCUGGAAACAGAUGCCAAUACCGGAUAACAACAGAUGGUGCCUAUCAACUGUUUAAAAGAUGGUUCUGCUAUCACUCUUGGAUGGACCUGCGGUGCAUUAGCUAGUUGGUAGGGUAACGGCCUACCAAGGCGAUGAUGCAUAGCCGAGUUGAGAGACUGAUCGGCCACAUUGGGACUGAGACACGGCCCAAACUCCUACGGGAGGCAGCAGCG